CGACAAAAUGUGACUAAUUAAGAUAUGAUUCUGUCAAUGAUUAUGAAAUUUGAUGAGUCUUGAUAUUAAAUGUUUUAUCAUUUUUUAUUGGUCUAAACAGUGAGAACCAGCACAGUCAACUACGAUACCAGCAGACACCGUUGAUCUACCAAGCCUCUCCAUACUACGUCACCCAGCCCACGUUUGCUACCGUCCCCGCCCACUCCCCGACCGCUACCCAGCCAUUCAUCGACUACACCUACGCCGCACACCAACAAUACAACCAGGCGGGAACCUUCGGUGACCAGUUCAGCUACGCCAGCACGCCCCACGGCUUCGUCACGCCUGCCUACAACCUAGCGGCAGUCCAAUCGGCCGGCUCGCUUCCCACCGCCGUCAACCAAGCAGCGCAGUUCUCGCAGUUCCAGGCAGCCCAGCCUACAGUCGCUGCAGAUCAUACAUGUUUGCAAUAACUAUGAUCCAAUGCCACCGCGAUCGCCUAUCUAGAUUCUUCUUUUUAUUUUUCGUUGGAAAGGGAAUUUCAUUUCUUAGAUUUUUGAUGGAAUCUCUUUCGACUGGAGGACAUUUGGUUCUGAAAGCAUCUUUCAAUUCUGUUUAUUAGCCACAUUCACAGGUAUUGUUCGUGAACUGCGGAGGGUUGCAGCGAGACGGCCAGGCUCUCCUUUCUUAUCGACUUGGUGAGUCGUGAGGAGUGUGACACAUGGAGAGCGAUACCUCUGCCGUUAAUCGCCUUUUUGUGUCGUCCAUCUUCAAAAAGAUGUAUAGAGGACACGUGAGAAAAGAAAGGAUGUACUGCCAUAUUGCACUGUUAUGCAACGUAUAGCAUUCACACAAUUUGUACAGAGAAAUUAUGAGAAGUAAACUUGUUGGAAAAAAAAAUGUUUGUGAUUUUGUCUACGUCCUAUGUCAGUGCACCUAAUGUAUUGUGUAUUCAUAUUAUACAGUCAAAAACUGUCUCAUAUUUGUAGCUAUUUAAGCAAAUGCCUUCAUUUUUGUUGUUGUCAUUGGUCGUUUUACAUGCGAAAAGCAAAUUCAAUUUGAUAUCGUUUUUUCUUUUGUUUGGAAACUGUUAACUACAAAGUCGGUAAACCUCGUUCGUACUCUACCAUAUCUGAAACGGGUUCCUUGUGCAUGGUUAUGCUUGUUGUAGUAAUGGCUUCACCUUGAAGGAGGUCUUAACUGACAUAGCACCAGUCACUUCUCUCAAAUAUAUCUUCUAAAGAAUUGCAUUUACUACCCACUAUCUUAUAUUCAACCCAAUUUAUCAAACCACGCCUAAUUUCUUGACAGAAAAUAUGGCUUCUUCAAUUUCAAAUUCUACCCUAUGGACAGAUCUGUGAGGUAAAGAAGAGAACAAAUUAUUCAUGUAGAAAAUCUAGCCAGCAUUUAGUAAUCAUUACAUUAUAUUAUGUACUUAUUGGUCACUUAUAUAUGUCACCUUGAAUACAUCUAUUUAUUUGCGUGACGAAUAUUAAUACUCCGUCCAGCUGAUGAUAAGUUGUAAUUAUAAAAAACAUGAAUUGAAAUGAAAUGUGCAAGCAUGCCAAAAUAGCGGCUGAUUUGGAGAUGAAAUUCGUGCUAAAUAUCUGCUUUCAGAAAAUGAAGAGAAAGGCAAAAUGCAAUGUGUAUUUUUUUUUUGUUCUUAGCAUAUAAUGCGAGACUCUAAAGUAUAUCUAUCCCCCACUUUUUUUCCUUUUCUUUUGUAGAUCAUAUAUCAACCAAGUUAGAUCCCCUUUCCCAUUUUAUUUUUGGUUUCAACAAUAAUCACCUUUUGCACCUAUUUUAAUUGGUAUCACAGCUAGAUACUAGCAGGAAACAUCUGGGGUUACUUUUAAUUUAGCCCCUCCUACCUGCUGCAUAUGCAUGAUUAUGCUCUUGAGUGACUAAUUUCUAUCUUAUGAGCCAAUAAAGCUACAAUUUUUGUUGAAGGAAAUCUUUUCUUUUCUUUUUAACCUUUACUUUAGCUCAUGUAUGAAAAACAUGCACUCAUUUUUAUUCAGAGAAAUAAAAACAAGAUUGUUAAGCCAGUGUUGGUUAAAAGCUAUACUGGGGCUAGUUCCUUUCACAAAUGAAAAUGAAACAACUUUACUGGCAAAAUUCAAUCAAAAUCUUCCCUUUUAUUGAAGUAAAAAAAAGAGAGGGAACCAAACAUGACAGUUUGUGGGGGGAGGGAGGGGGGGGGGGGGAGGAAGUGCCAUGUUGCGAUGUCAUGUGACUUCUUUUAUUGGAUAAUCCUCCCAAGUAGUUUCCAGAUUAAAGGAUUUAGGCCUUAAUCUCGGGUCCCCCCUUUACCCCGGAUCAAAGAGCGAGUGAUGGGUUAACGAUAGAAAUUGACAAAUUGUGCCCUCUUUUUUACAACUCCGGUUGUUGAAACUUGUCAUCACGGAUUUCGUCCAGCCCUUGUUUUUUUCUUCUUGUGAAAUCUUUGGGGUGGUGAAUUUGGUAGUUUGCUCAUAGUAUCCAAGAGUCUGGUUGGAUGGAGGUGUUGAUUACAUGUUUGACAUUACUGUGAGGGGGAGAAUGGUGGUAUGGGAACAAGAAUAACAAACAUGUUAGACCGUGUUGGCCUGAGUAUGGAAUGGAGAGGCCCUACCACCUCAUCCUUGUGCGAUCGACUGCCAACUUUGGUAGACUGGAACUUUUCCUUCACAUGAAAAUUCAAGAGUACCAAAAAAAUCUUUUGCAUCCCAGCGAUCUCUCUUCCUUCUUUUUCAUUUCAUAAAUAUUGCCUUUAUUUCUUUUAUAAAGAAAAGGGUUAUUAAUGUCCUUUGGAAAUAUUUGUGGGAAUUGUCAGUACUAAUGGUGGAGAAUAAUAAUGACAAUUUGGAAAAGUACUUAACAAAAUGUUUUCUUGCUUAGUUUAGGUUUACUACAAAUAAGAUUGCGGAUUGUAAAAUGACAGUUAUUUGAGGGUCAUUUAUAGCCUUUUCAAAGUUGAAUCGUUAUGAAGUCAGCCUAGAACUAUUUGCAGAAAUGCCAUCAACUUAAAUUGAUUGAUUAGGGGGCUCUAAGAAAACAAACACAAGUAAAAGCAUGUGCUCUUAACAGUAUUUUACCAAUCAGCAUCGAAUAUCUGCCCUUGGUGAUGAGAAUACUAUUUGCUGAAUGACCUAUUUCUUUUUCGAAAAAAUCAACCUGAACAUAAAUAAGUGUCUCUUCUAUGUUCUGUCCUGUAGUAAUGUCCUUUUUUUGUCCUCUGUACUUUGGUCGGUGCACUAUGAUUGUAUCUGUGCAUUUUAUGUAUAGCAGAGAGAAUCAGAGAAUAAGUUAUAUGAAUGUUUUAUGACAUGAAUCCAGAUUGUUAUAACAGAGAUUUACAUGUAGUACAUGUUUAUGUCCAAAAGGGUGAAAGAUUGUAAAUGCUGAGGACAAAAUUGUUUAGAAAACAAAUCACUUAUGAUAUGAAAAUUUCAGAUUCAGUGUACUAUUAUUAUUACUAUUAUGGAUAUCUAUUUGGUAUGAUUAAUUCUCAUUUUCAUAUUUAAUAUUCAAGCAUUAUGUCUAUCAAUAUUAUUAUUACAUGUUAAUAACUAUGAGUAGUGUAUAUAGAUAAGGUCGAUGGUUUUAUAUUAAACUAUGUAGAUAUUCAAAAUGCAAACUUAGAGUAGUUUUAGAGCAUAUCUAGCUGUAAUAGAUAUUGUACAAGUAAUAUAUAUGAAUGUAUUCUUGAUAUAAGUACUUGAAUAUACACCAUGGGGUUUUUCUUAUGGAACAUGCUUUAAGAAUGUAUAAUUUUGAAUUUUUCUGAGCAGUCUUUAAAACUAAAUUUCCUACAUAAUGUAUCAGAGAGCUAUUUGUUACAAUAUUCUUCAUACAAUUUGGCUGAUUUUGCCGACGUGAGGAAUAUUAUUCAGUCCUGUGCUGUACCCCAUGUAAGCUGAAAACAUUGUACAAAGGAUGAUACAACAAAAAUGUCACUAUCUAUUUGUUUUUCUUUCGGUCAUCAAAUCUUUUCAUAUAAAAAUGAAUUAAGGUAUAUCAAACCUGUUCUUUCAAAAAAGAGAAUGCUUGAUGCAUCUAAUCAUGAAAUACUUUUUUUGUAUUGUUUGGAUAAAAUGAAAACAAUUUUUUUACAGUGACUUAUGGUGUCUUGUAACUAUCUGCAUGCUUAAAGUAAAAGACUUCAAAUGGGCUUUGUCCUGUCUUAAAUCAAAAUGCUUUUAUACCAUCAAAGAGAGGGAAGGAAUAUUUGACAUCUGUAGCUGACGAUCUUUCAAACAUUUCUUUGUGUAACGAGGGACUUCCUUCUGUCUCUGUUCAUCGAAGGAUUCUAGUUUAACAUGUUGUAGGCCUAGCUAACUGUUCAUACUGUUUAGAAGAGUAGGAUAAGAAAAAAACAGAACUGUGCAUUAAUUGAUAAGCUGUCAAAUUGUUUUAUAUAUAUGUCGAGUAAAAUAUAACGAACAAAAUGUCUUGUAUAAAUAGUUAGCUUAACAAAGGAGGUUAAAGGGGUAGUUAGAUAUAGAUAUCAAUUGUUAAAUGUUAUGAUUCGUACUCGUUAUCAGAUAAUUACAAGAGCUUUGGCGUCGGACAAACUAGUGUCUUUCGAGGACAAAAUAGCAAUUAAUGUAAAUUGUAUUAAAGUACCAAGCAUAGGCCACUUUUAAUCUUAUUGAUUAAUUUUAUUAUAAGUAUGGAAAUUAAUUAUGUUUUUAUUUAAUCAUGUAAAGCUAUACCUAGUGCAUUUAUGUAAAAUAUAUUUUAGAGAAUACAACAGAAACUAAGAGGGUCUAAAAAAAAUUCUAAUAGACAUUCACUAACUUCGUAAAAUCAUUCUUUGAUUUUUGAGAGGACAGCAGCAAAACAAAAAACACUUUUCUGAUUUUUACAAGCAGUCAUAACCAACAAAAAUGUUGAUGAAAUGAUGAAAGCUAGCUGAUUAUGUAUUUAUCAAAAGCAAUAAAAAGACGUGAAACGAAAGUCGAAUAUCUGAUGGAAUAAAUAUGACAAUCUUUAUAAUUGCUUUCAUUUUCUUUGUACAGAAUAGUUCUCUCUUUUCUUUCAUUUUAUACCAAUAUAAUCAUUUUUUAUUUGUUCUUCUUUUUCUUUUUUAAAAUCCUUAGCCCACUUUGUCAUCUGUUUUUUGCGUAGUGUCGGUAAUGAACAAAAGAAAAGCAAAUAACCGCUGUACUGUACGUUACCAAGAUGGCCUAUGCAAUUCAACAUGUCUUCCAAUUAUACUACAUGUACUGUAAAUUAGCAUCGUAUUUAUAAUCGUAGCUCUCUUUUUUUUUCAUUGUUAAGACUUGAAGGGGCUGUUCUCAUUACCAGGUAUUCACGAUUCACUCCGUAUAACACACAUUCAAUGCAGUUUGGAGUAGUGUUAUUGGAGGAGUUACAGGUGAAAGUCUGGAUUGUGUCAACAUGCCCCAUGUAGGAGAAAGCUGUUUAAUAUGGAAGAAAGAAAAAAAAAGGCAAAACUAUUACCAUGUAUAUUCAGGGUAGGUUAUCUGUUAUGCCACCAUGUAUGUCAUAGCUUGGCAAGAAUAUAGUAAAUGUAAUAUUAAGAAAGAGAAGAAAAAAAUGACAUCGCCAAUAAAUUACAAGGAAUAAAUAUGGAA